AUGGUGCUCCCGACAUUACCAGUUACCCUCACAUUCCUCACACUGUUAGCUCUCUUCUCGAUUGCCAAGGCGGCUGACAAGAACUCCACAGCCUCUGGCCUCAUCCUCCUAAAUUGCGGAGCAUCAACCCAAGACAAUGAUGAUAGUGGUCGUACAUGGGAUGGGGACACCGGGUCCAAGUUUGCACCAUUACUGGAAGGAGUUGCAGCCAAUGCUUCGUAUCAAGACCCUUCACUCCCCUCCAGGGUCCCUUGUAUGACUGCACGCAUCUUCACUUCAAAUUACACCUAUUCCUUCCCUGUCAGCGCAGGCCGCAUGUUCUUACGCCUCUACUUCUAUCCGAUUGCUUAUGAGAACUAUGUUGUCUCCGAUGCCUUUUUUGGUGUCACCGCAGGAAAUCUUGUACUCUUAAAUGGUUUCAGUGCUUGGCAAACUGCUCAGGCGACCAGUUCUGCCUACCUUGUCCGUGAAUUCUCGGUGAAUGUUUCUUUAGGCAGCUUGGACCUCACCUUUGCCCCAUCAGCAGAUCAGAAUGGUUCUUAUGCAUUUGUCAAUGGCAUCGAGAUUGUGCCCACUCCUGACAUCUUUACAACAUAUGACACAAGAUUUGUCGGCAUAGGCACAACUCCAUUCUCAUUCGCCGCUGACACGGUCUUCCAGACUAUGUACCGGCUCAAUGUUGGGGGUGAAGCCAUUUCCCCGACAAAUGACUCGGGCUUUUACCGCUCAUGGGCCGAAGAUUCCCCAUACAUAUUUGGUGACUCUGGGAUAUCAUUCUCCAAAGAUAGUAAUUUGACUAUUACGUAUACACCUGCAGUGCCGAAUUACACCGCUCCAAUAGAUGUCUAUGGUACAGCUCGGUCGAUGGGGUCAAAUGCACAGGCCAACCUGAAUUACAACCUUAAAUGGAUUUUACCGGUUGAUGCGGGGUUCAUCUACCUCCUAAGGUUCCAUUUCUGUGAGAUUAAGUACCCUUUUACCAAGAUAAACCAGAGGUCGUUCUUCAUCUACAUCAACGACCAGACAGCGCAGCGGAACAUGGAUGUUAUCGGUUGGAGCGGAGGAAUCGGUAGAACAACAUACAGAGACUAUGUUAUCAGCACUAUUGGUUCUGGUCAGGUGGACGUGUGGAUUGAACUUCAGCCUGAUCUUUCAAGUAACCCAGAGUAUUCUGAUGCAAUACUGAAUGGUCUUGAGAUCUUCAAGCUACCGGGUUCCGGUACAAAUGAAUCCAAAGUUGACAUGCGAGCAGCCCUCAUUGGAACUAUCGGUGGUUUUUCUUUGAUGUUGAUUGCCAUUUUGAGCACGCAUGUCAUCUGUAGGCGGAAGAAGGUAAAGAAGAGUUCUUGCAAGACCGACUACGGACAUCUGAAUCGUCACACUGAACAAAGAAAGCCUACAUGUGAUCUCGUCCGCCAUUUCUCAUUUGCAGAAAUUCAAGUUGCCACCAAAGACUUUGAUGGAGCACUUAUCAUCGGCAGAGGUGGUUUCGGGAAUGUCUACAGUGGUGAUAUAGAUGGAGGGACAAAGGUGGCGAUCAAGCGAUGCAACCAGAAAUCCCAACAAGGCUUUCAUGAGUUCCAGACUGAAAUCGAGAUGUUGUGCAAUUUCCGACAUCGCCACCUUGUGUCUCUGAUUGGUUACUGUGAGGAGAAGAAUGAGAUGAUUCUGGUGUAUGAUUACAUGGCUCAUGGAACAUUGCGGGAGCAUCUAUACAACACCAGAAACCCACCACUGUCAUGGCAGCAGCGCCUUGAGAUUUGCAUCGGUGCAGCCCGAGGACUGCAUUACCUCCACACUGGCGUAGAGCUAGGAAUCAUCCACCGUGAUGUUAAGAGCACCAACAUCCUAUUGGAUGAUAGGUUCAUGGCAAAGGUUUCUGACUUCGGUCUGUCUAAGGCUAGUCCAGACAUUGACAACACCCACAUGAGCACCGCUGUGAAAGGCACCUUUGGAUAUCUUGAUCCAGAGUACUUCCGGCUGCAGCGUCUCACCAAAAAAUCAGAUGUGUACUCCUUCGGGGUCGUGUUGUUUGAGACCUUGUGUGCGCGCCCUGUGAUAAACACCGAGCUUCCGGAUGAGCAAGUGAGCUUGCGUGACUGGGCACUUUCUUGCCAAAAGAGAGGUGUACUCAAGGAGAUUGUUGACCCCCGUGUUAAGGAGGAAAUCACCCCUGAGUGCUUCAGGAUUUUUGCAGAGAUAGCAGAGAAAUGUGUAGCUGAUCGUAGCAUAGAUAGGCCAUCAAUGGGUGAUGUACUCUGGAACCUUGAGGUCGCACUCCAGCUGCAGCAGGAUAGUGCAAGCUACAACAGCAACUGUACAGAGGGUGCUUCAUCUCUUCAGAUCAGCGCGGUGCAUUCAGACAAACCAUCCGCCAACUCAACAAUUAGCGUCUCAGCGCAGAAAGCCAUAUUUUCAGAUAUUGCGCAUGCAGAAGGCCGAUAA
rnacentral:rRNA from 1 species